CCUACGGGAGGCAGCAGUGGGGAAUAUUGCACAAUGGGGGAAACCCUGAUGCAGCGAAGCCGCGUGAGGGAAGAAGGAAUUCGUUAUGUAAAGCUCUAUCAGCAGGGAAGAAAAUGACGGUACCUGAGUAAGAAGCCGCGGCUAACUACGUGACAGCAGCCGCGGGAAUACGUAGGGGGCAAGCGUUAUCCGGAUUUACUGGGUGUAAAGGGGGCGUAGAGGGCAGUGCAAGUCUGGAGUGAAAGGCGGGGGCUCAACCCCCGGACUGCUCUUGAAACUGUACGGCUGGAGUGCAGGAGAGGUAAGUGGAAUUCGUAGUGUAGCGGUGAAAUGCGUAGAUAUUAGGCGGAACACCAGUGGCGAAGGCGGCUUACUGGACUGUAACUGACGUUGAGGCUCGAAAGCGUGGGGAGCAAACAGGAUUAGAUACCCGAGUAGUC
rnacentral:rRNA from 1 species